GAUGAACGCUGGCGGCGUGCUUAACACAUGCAAGUCGAACGGUGAAGGCGGAGCUUGCUCUGCUGGAUCAGUGGCGAACGGGUGAGUAACACGUGAGCAAUCUGCCCCUGACUCUGGGAUAAGCGCUGGAAACGGCGGCUAAUACUGGAUACGAGCUGCGAAGGCAUAUUCAGCAGCUGGAAAGAAUUUCGGUCAGGGAUGAGCUCGCGGCCUAUCAGCUUGUUGGUGAGGUAAUGGCUCACCAAGGCGUCGACGGGUAGCCGGCCUGAGAGGGUGACCGGCCACACUGGGACUGAGACACGGCCCAGACUCCUACGGGAGGCAGCAGUGGGGAAUAUUGCACAAUGGGCGAAAGCCUGAUGCAGCAACGCCGCGUGAGGGACGACGGCCUUCGGGUUGUAAACCUCUUUUAGCAGGGAAGAAGCGAAAGUGACGGUACCUGCAGAAAAAGCGCCGGCUAACUACGUG
rnacentral:rRNA from 1 species